GGGCGCAAGCCUGAUGCAGCCAUGCCGCGUGUGUGAAGAAGGCCUUCGGGUUGUAAAGCACUUUCAGUAAGGAGGAAAGGUUAAGUGUUAAUAGCACUUAGCUGUGACGUUACUUACAGAAGAAGCACCGGCUAACUCCGUGCCAGCAGCCGCGGUAAUACGGAGGGUGCGAGCGUUAAUCGGAAUUACUGGGCGUAAAGCGUACGCAGGCGGUUUGUUAAGCGAGAUGUGAAAGCCCCGGGCUCAACCUGGGAACUGCAUUUCGAACUGGCAAACUAGAGUGUGAUAGAGGGUGGUAGAAUUUCAGGUGUAGCGGUGAAAUGCGUAGAGAUCUGAAGGAAUACCGAUGGCGAAGGCAGCCACCUGGGUCAACACUGACGCUCAUGUACGAAAGCGUGGGGAGCAAACAGGAUUAGAUACCCUGGUAGUCCACGCCGUAAACGAUGUCUACUAGAAGCUCGGGUCUUCGGACUUGUUUUUCAAAGCUAACGCAUUAAGUAGACCGCCUGG
rnacentral:rRNA from 1 species